AUGGUUGUUUUUCACAGGAGUGUCUUCAGUGACCAAGCUCUUCCACCCAUGGAAGUCUGCAGUGCGCUCAGACAGUUUUCAUUUUGUGAGGCGCUUCAACUGUGGCCUCACUACAGAACACCACCCUCUAUAUGGCACCUUUUGUACCAAGCUGUCAUCCUGCGUUUUUGAAUGGGAUCAGGAGGAUGUGCAACGCCUGAAGGAGGCCAAGAGAGAGGAGUGGAAGUGCAGCCACAGUGGACAUGUUCCCACUGAGGAACAGCUUAUGGCCACCGUCAACCCAGGAGAACUAAAGAAACACUGCAGGAGGAGGACCCGUGGAGUGGAGGAGAUGCGCCGUAUGAUUUCAAGGCUGCUGGAAUCAGUGUGGGACCUCACAGACACCACAGGGCUGUGUUUGGUGAGCCAUGACAGCAUGCGCCACAUCUGGGAGAUGCAGCAGAAACAGCUGGAGUGCUUCCAAGACCCCCCAGGCUGGCGGUGCAAUGCUACACAUAUGCAAAUGUACAUGCUGGAGGGGCUAUCAAGGUGGAACAUGGGCGGGGCCAAGGAGGCAGUAGCUGUGGAGGGGGCCUCGACCCUUAGAAGCUUCGAUGUCCGCCCGAUGUCCCACCUCAACAGCUUAAGCUAGCGUGUCCGUGGUUGUAAUCUAGUGGCAGAAUUCCCCCCACCUGGGAAACCUACUGAUGAGCGCAUAGUGGUGGACUAUUUAUUGGGCCAGACCAACAGAGGGGACCUGCUUGCGCCAUGGCAUGUCCCUGAAAUCCCAUCACAGGUGCUUGAGGAGGAGUGGGACGCAGAUGAUGCAGAUGUCACUGUAGACAUGUCUGAGGAGGGGGCUACUGGUCCUUAUGACCAGUCUGUGGAGGGUGACACUGAUCCCGAAGUCAUCGUCACAGAGACUAGCCCAAGUGACACGAGAGGGGUUGU